CCCCGGGCUCAACCUGGGAACUGCAUUCGAAACUGGCAGGCUAGAGUCUUGUAGAGGGGGGUAGAAUUCCAGGUGUAGCGGUGAAAUGCGUAGAGAUCUGGAGGAAUACCGGUGGCGAAGGCGGCCCCCUGGACAAAGACUGACGCUCAGGUGCGAAAGCGUGGGGAGCAAACAGGAUUAGAUACCCUGGUAGUCCACGCCGUAAACGAUGUCGAUUUGGAGGUUGUGCCCUUGAGGCGUGGCUUCCGGAGCUAACGCGUUAAAUCGACCGCCUGGGGAGUACGGCCGCAAGGUUAAAACUCAAAUGAAUUGACGGGGGCCCGCACAAGCGGUGGAGCAUGUGGUUUAAUUCGAUGCAACGCGAAGAACCUUACCUG
rnacentral:rRNA from 1 species